CAGGCCUAACACAUGCAAGUCGAGCGGUAACAUUUCUAGCUUGCUAGAAGAUGACGAGCGGCGGACGGGUGAGUAAUGCUUGGGAACAUGCCUUGAGGUGGGGGACAACAGUUGGAAACGACUGCUAAUACCGCAUAAUGUCUACGGACCAAAGGGGGCUUCGGCUCUCGCCUUUAGAUUGGCCCAAGUGGGAUUAGCUAGUUGGUGAGGUAAUGGCUCACCAAGGCGACGAUCCCUAGCUGGUUUGAGAGGAUGAUCAGCCACACUGGGACUGAGACACGGCCCAGACUCCUACGGGAGGCAGCAGUGGGGAAUAUUGCACAAUGGGCGCAAGCCUGAUGCAGCCAUGCCGCGUGUGUGAAGAAGGCCUUCGGGUUGUAAAGCACUUUCAGUCAGGAGGAAAGGUUAGUAGUUAAUACCUGCUAGCUGUGACGUUACUGACAGAAGAAGCACCGGCUAACUCCGUGCCAGCAGCCGCGGUAAUACGGAGGGUGCGAGCGUUAAUCGGAAUUACUGGGCGUAAAGCGUACGCAGGCGGUUUGUUAAGCGAGAUGUGAAAGCCCCGGGCUCAACCUGGGAACUGCAUUUCGAACUGGCAAACUAGAGUGUGAUAGAGGGUGGGUAGAAUUUCAGGUGUAGCGGUGAAAUGCGUAGAGAUCUGAAGGAAUACCGAUGGCGAAGGCAGCCACCUGGGUCAACACUGACGCUCAUGUACGAAAGCGUGGGGAGCAAACAGGAUUAGAUACCCUGAUAGUCCACGCCGUAAACGAUGUCUACUAGAA
rnacentral:rRNA from 1 species